UUGACCUCGAAUCAGGUAGGACUACCCGCUGAACUUAAGCAUAUCAAUAAGCGGAGGAA
rnacentral:rRNA from 13 species